AUGAUGAUGAUCUCCUCGGCGAGAUCAUCAUCCGCGUCACCUUUCCCACCAGCCUCGUUCGCGUUGCCCUUGUUUGCAAGCGCUGGCUCAGCCUCGCCUCCGCGCCCGCCUUCCUCCGCCGCUUCCGCAAGCUCCACCCGCCCAGCCUCCUCGGCGUCUACGUCUUCAGCAUGCAUAACAAUGGACCGCGGUUCGUGCCGAUGUCUCAGCCCCCUGAGCUCCAGGCCGUCCUCCAUAGCGGCAGCUUCAAUUUAG
rnacentral:rRNA from 1 species